GCGCGCCAGCCGCGAGGCUGCAAUGCGAAUGUGGCUAAUGUGUCGCACUACCUGCCUCUGUAGGCGAGAUAAAAGAUGUCAAGUGAAACAUAAUAUAGGGACACUAGUGACUGAUGGCGAGGAUGUUCAGAGAUAUGGACCCCAGAAAAAAACAUGCCGAACGGACUAACUGUAGAGACUAAAACAGGCUUUUAGCUGGAUAGACAUAGACACUGGCUUGGCUUGGCUUGGCUUGGCGUAGCUCCCCACCAGCACCCAUCCUGCUCUCCA